UACGUAGGGACCAAGCGUUGUUCGGAUUUACUGGGCGUAAAGGGCGCGUAGGCGGCAAUUCAAGUCAUCUGUGAAAUCUCCGGGCUUAACCCGGAACGGUCAGGUGAUACUGUUUUGCUAGAGUGCGGAAGGGGCAAUCGGAAUUCUCGGUGUAGCGGUGAAAUGACGUAGAUAUCGAGAGGAACACCAGAGGUGAAGACGGGUUGCUGGGCCGACACUGACGCUGACAGCGCGAAAGCCAGGGGAGCAAACGGG
rnacentral:rRNA from 1 species